UCCGUAGGUGGAUAAUUAAGUCAGAGGUGAAAUCCUGCAGCUCAACUGUAGAAUUGCCUUUGAUACUGGUUAUCUUGAGUCAUUAUGAAGUGGUUAGAAUGUGUAGUGUAGCGGUGAAAUGCAUAGAUAUUACACAGAAUACCGAUUGCGAAGGCAGAUCACUAAUAAUGUACUGACACUGAGGGACGAAAGCGUGGGGAGCGAACAGGAUAGAUACCCUGGUAGUCC
rnacentral:rRNA from 1 species